GCUCCGAUAGUGUAGCUUGGCCCAUCAUUCAGGGCUCUCACCCCUGUGACCCGGGUUCAAAUCCCGGUCGGAGCA
rnacentral:tRNA from 1 species